AGCAAGGGCGGCAGGCUACACAUGCAGUCGACGGUAACAGGAAGCAGCUUGCUGCUUUGCUGACGAGUGGCGGACGGGUGAGUAAUGUCUGGGAAACUGCCUGAUGGAGGGGGAUAACUACUGGAAACGGUAGCUAAUACCGCAUAACGUCUUCGGACCAAAGAGGGGGACCUUCGGGCCUCUUGCCAUCGGAUGUGCCCAGAUGGGAUUAGCUUGUUGGUGGGGUAACGGCUCACCAAGGCGACGAUCCCUAGCUGGUCUGAGAGGAUGACCAGCCACACUGGAACUGAGACACGGUCCAGACUCCUACGGGAGGCAGCAGUGGGGAAUAUUGCACAAUGGGCGCAAGCCUGAUGCAGCCAUGCCGCGUGUAUGAAGAAGGCCUUCGGGUUGUAAAGUACUUUCAGCGGGGAGGAAGGCGAUGAGGUUAAUAACCUUGUCCAUUGACGUUACCCGCAGAAGAAGCACCGGCUAACUCCGUGCCAGCAGCCGCGGUAAUACGGAGGGUGCAAGCGUUAAUCGGAAUUACUGGGCGUAAAGCGCACGCAGGCGGCGUGUCAAGUCGGAUGUGAAAUCCCCGGGCUCAACCCGGGAACUGCAUUCGAAACUGGCAUGCUAGAGUCUUGUAGAGGGGGGUAGAAUUCCAGGUGUAGCGGUGAAAUGCGUAGAGAUCUGGAGGAAUACCGGUGGCGAAGGCGGCCCCCUGGACAAAGACUGACGCUCAGGUGCGAAAGCGUGGGGAGCAAACAG
rnacentral:rRNA from 1 species